rnacentral:rRNA from 1 species
UACGUAGGGCGCAAGCGUUGUCCGGAAUUAUUGGGCGUAAAGAGCUCGUAGGUGGUUCGAUAAGUCGGGUGUGAAACCUCCAGGCUCAACCUGGAGACGCCACCCGAUACUGUCGUGACUAGAGUCCAGUAGGGGAGCGUGGAAUUCCUGGUGUAGCGGUGAAAUGCGCAGAUAUCAGGAGGAACACCAGCGGCGAAGGCGGCGCUCUGGGCUGGCACUGACACUGAGGAGCGAAAGCGUGGGGAGCGAACAGG